rnacentral:rRNA from 1 species
AACACGUGUGCAACUUACCUUUAUCUGGGGAAUAGCCUUUCGAAAGGGAGAUUAAUACCCCAUAAUAUAUUAGAUGGCAUCAUUUGAUAUUGAAAACUCCGGUGGAUAGAGAUGGGCACGCGCAAGAUUAGAUAGUUGGUGAGGUAACGGCUCACCAAGUCAAUGAUCUUUAGGGGUCCUGAGAGGGAGAUCCCCCACACUGGUACUGAGACACGGACCAGACUCCUACGGGAGGCAGCAGUGAGGAAUAUUGGACAAUGGGUGAAAGCCUGAUCCAGCCAUCCCGGUGAAG